CUCAAAUGGCACAUUCAUCAACUGGAAAAGGCCAAGAAAAUUUCAUCCCCGGUCAAGCUUAAUCAUGGCGACAUUAUAUCAUUAUCAUCACCUCCUCAUGACGGUAAUAUCCUAUGAAUAAUUCUGAUUCAUUCAUACUGGGUUUACUGGGGUAGGUAUUCAUUACGCACUGUGUGCUACUAUUGUUCUCUGUGUUCAGUUCAUCAUAAUGUUUCUGUGGCAUUUUAUUACUGCUAUGUUGUGAUUGAUGUUUCAAAUCUUCUAUUCAAGUUGUAUGUUGCUUUUGCAGACAAUUCCUUUGUAUUUAUCUACCGGGAAAUGCAAUCAGUCGUGUAGAGAAUGGGGCUCCCAUUCUUAAAAGGAAGUCAGUGGAGGGUGGUUCUGGAAGUAAGAGGUUAAAGGGUCUUGGUAUUGGUUCUCCUGAUGGUCCUGUUUCACUAGAUGAUGUCCGAAGACUAGAAAAAUCUAAUGUUGAUCUCAGGGAACAACUUGAGGCACAUGUUGUGACAAUUGAGACUUUGAGGGCUGAAAUAAAAACAGCCCAAGUGCAGCAUGGAAAGGUCAUAUAUUACUUCCA